GAUGAACGCUGGCGGCGUGCCUAACACAUGCAAGUCGAACGGAGUUACUUUAGUGAAGUUUUCGGAUGGAUCUGAUUUAACUUAGUGGCGGACGGGUGAGUAAUGCGUGAGCAACCUGCCCUUCAGAGGGGGACAACAGUUGGAAACGACUGCUAAUACCGCAUAAUGUAUUCGGAAGGCAUCUUCUGGAUACCAAAGGAGAAAUCCGCUGAUGGAUGGGCUCACGUCUGAUUAGAUAGUUGGUGAGGUAACGGCUCACCAAGUCGACGAUCGGUAGCCGGACUGAGAGGUUGAACGGCCACAUUGGGACUGAGACACGGCCCAGACUCCUACGGGAGGCAGCAGUGGGGAAUAUUGCACAAUGGGCGAAAGCCUGAUGCAGCAACGCCGCGUGAGGGAAGACGGUUUUCGGAUUGUAAACCUCUGUUUUCGGUGACGAACAAAUGACGGUAACCGAGUAGGAAGCCACGGCUAACUACGUGCCAGCAGCCGCGGUAAUACGUAGGUGGCAAGCGUUAUCCGGAAUUAUUGGGUGUAAAGGGUGCGUAGGCGGCUAUGUAAGUCAGGCGUGUAAUUCAGAGGCUUAACCUCUUGACUGCGCUUGAAACUGUGUAGCUUGAGUGGAGUAGAGGCAGAUGGAAUUUCCAGUGUAGCGGUGAAAUGCGUAGAUAUUGGAAGGAACAUCGGCGGCGAAGGCGAUCUGCUGGGCUUUAACUGACGCUGAGGCACGAAAGCAUGGGGAGCAAACAGGAUUAGAUACCCUGGUAGUCCAUGCCGUAAACGAUGAUUACUAGGUGUGGGGGGACUGACCCCUUCCGUGCCGGAGUUAACACAAUAAGUAAUCCACCCUGGGAAGUACGAUCGCAAGGUUGAAACUCAAAGGAAAUUGA
rnacentral:rRNA from 1 species